rnacentral:rRNA from 1 species
CCUACGGGUGUCAGCAGUGGGGAAUAUUGGACAAUGGGCGAAAGCCUGAUCCAGCCAUGCCGCGUGUGUGAAGAAGGCCUUCGGGUUGUAAAGCACUUUCAGUGGGGAAGAAAGCCUUGGGGCUAAUACCCUCGAGGAAGGACAUCACCCACAGAAGAAGCACCGGCUAACUCCGUGCCAGCAGCCGCGGUAAUACGGAGGGUGCGAGCGUUAAUCGGAAUUACUGGGCGUAAAGCGCGCGUAGGCGGUCUGAUAAGCCGGUUGUGAAAGCCCCGGGCUCAACCUGGGAACGGCAUCCGGAACUGUCAGGCUAGAGUGCAGGAGAGGAAGGUAGAAUUCCCGGUGUAGCGGUGAAAUGCGUAGAGAUCGGGAGGAAUACCAGUGGCGAAGGCGGCCUUCUGGACUGACACUGACGCUGAGGUGCGAAAGCGUGGGUAGCAAACAGGAUUAGAUACCCUUGUAGUC